GAGAGUGGAGCAGUACAUGUAAGCACAUCACCUCUGAAGCCUUGAAAUUUUUAAGUCUACACACGUAGGCAACACUAGUCUGUUGCUGGGAAUCUCUGUGGAGGUAAUCAGCAGCCGCAGUACUGACGUACGGCGGUUCACAGAUCAAACACUAGUGACUCAUACGUCCAUAAUCACCUAUAUCUCCCUUCAGAGGCAACUUUGGUGUGUACCUACAAGUUUUCAACACACAUGAAGUUUCUGGUUCCACAUGAAGGGUUUGAGCUCUUGGAUGCCGAGAACGGUAACAAGUUUUACCGGGGAUCACGCGGGGCUCUGGAUAUCUGUGGCUGUGGGCUACUGGUGGGUUAAAAUAUGACCGGCCCCAUCUAGGAAUAGAUGGGCUAUAGUGUUCCGUAGGUGAACCUGCGGAAGGAUCAUUACAGAGUUAGGGUCUUUCAGGCCUGACCUCCAACCCUAUGUGUACCUACUUUUGUUGCUUUGGCGGGCCUGUUGGGGAGACCCACCGGCGGCCACAGGCUGCCGAGCGCCCGCCAAAGACCCAUCAAACUCUGCUAAUCGUGCAGUCUGAGUACCAAUUCAAUAGUUAAAACUUUCAACAACGGAUCUCUUGGUUCUGGCAUCGAUGAAGAACGCAGCGAAAUGCGAUAAGUAAUGUGAAUUGCAGAAUUCAGUGAAUCAUCGAAUCUUUGAACGCACAUUGCGCCCUUUGGUAUUCCAAGGGGCAUGCCUGUUCGAGCGUCAUUACACCACUCAAGCUCGGCUUGGUGUUGGGCCUUCGUCCCUCCGCGGACGUGCCCGGAAAUCAGUGGCGGCACCGCCCGGCUUCAAGCAGUAUUAGUCUAUUUCUCCGCUUUGGAAGCUUCGGGUGUAUGCCAGCCAGACAACUCCCACUUUUUAUUCAAGGUUGACCUCGGAUCAGGUAGGGAUACCCGCUGAACUUAAGCAUAUCAAUAAGCGGAGGAAAAGAAACCAACAGGGAUUGCCUCAGUAACGGCGAGUGAAGCGGCAACGGCUCAAAUUUGAAAUCUGGCUCUUUCAGAGUCCGAGUUGUAAUUUGUAGAGGAUGCUUCGGGUUUGGGUCCGGUCUAAGUUCCUUGGAACAGGACGUCGCAGAGGGUGAGAAUCCCGUAUGUGACCGGCCUCCGUGCCCGUGUGAAGCUCCUUCGACGAGUCGAGUUGUUUGGGAAUGCAGCUCAAAAUGGGUGGUAAAUUUCAUCUAAAGCUAAAUAUUGGCCAGAGACCGAUAGCGCACAAGUAGAGUGAUCGAAAGAUGAAAAGCACUUUGGAAAGAGAGUUAAACAGUACGUGAAAUUGUUGAAAGGGAAGCGCUUGCAACCAGACUUGCCUGCGGGUGAUCAGCCGGUAUUCUUACCGGUGCACUCGCCCGUGGUCAGGCCAGCAUCGGUUUGGGCGGCCGGAUAAAACCCCCCGGAACGUAGCUCCUCUCGGGGAGUGUUAUAGCCGGGGGUGCAAUGCGGCCCGCCCGGACCGAGGACCGCGCU
rnacentral:sRNA from 1 species